rnacentral:rRNA from 1 species
UACAGAGACUGCAAGCGUUAUUCGGAUUCACUGGGCGUAAAGGGUGCGCAGGCGGCCAAGUGUGUGAGGCGUGAAAGCCCGGGGCUUAACCCCGGAAUUGCACCUCAAACUACAUGGCUAGAGCAUUGGAGAGGGUAGCGGAAUUCACGGUGUAGCAGUGAAAAAUGCGUAGAUAUCGUGAGGAAACACCAGAGGCGAAAGGCGGCUACCUGGACAAUUUUUGCUGACGCUCAGGCACGAAAAGCGUGGGGGGAGCGAAACAGG